ensembl:lncRNA
ACCGUGUAAGAGAGAGGAUUCCAGCUCAGAUCCUGAAGCGUUGGUGUUGAACAUGAAUAACCUGCUACUGUUUACUUUUGGACUGUUUGCUCUCGCAGCAGGUGGAAACGGCGUGCAGGUGUUUUAUUGCGAGCCUGAAAAAUGUGCUCUCAGUGUAAUUAGGGUGUAUUGCAACGAUGAAGCCCUGCUCAAUGACGGAUCCAUGACAGAGUGCUCUGGUCCUCCUCCACACAGAGCUGUCUGUCAGCAUGAUGGUCGAGCAUUUGUUUCCAUGUCUGGGAAUGCUCAUUGUGAAUUUGAAGGGAAUAGUGGAUACAUCACCACAAAAAAUUGUUCAGACCUCAGCAACCUGUGCUCUUUCACUGGAACAACCAAAUCCUCAUCAACCCCAACGGGUUUUGGAAGUCUUGCGGAGGGCCUUACGCAAACUCAUCUCAUCAUCAUCGUAGUAGUAGUUUCAAACCUGGUGUGACUGUUCCCCUAAAAGAGGGCUGCAGUCAGCUGUGAAAGACUACUGAUCAAUAAGUUCAUGCAACCAAGGCUCAAGCCUGACGUGAACCCCCUGCUGUAACGACAAAAUAGCUUAUCCCACAUAACCUCUCCACUCUGAUAUUUUAAAUUUGUUUUAUGUCUUAUGCUUUUAUGAUUGUGUAAACUGCUUGCUUUUAUGUUGCUUUUAUUAUUCUACCAUGUACAGUGUCCUUGAGUGUUCUGAAAGGAGCUUUCAAAUAAAAUGUAUUAUUAUUA